GUGCUCGCUUUGGCAGCACAUAUACUAAAAUUGGAACGAUACAGAGAUUAGCAUGGCCCCUGUGCAAGGAUGACAUGCAAAUUAGUGAAGCAUUCCAUAUUUUU